UGUGAAUCCACUGAGCCGGUGCGUGCCUUAAAUAAACAUCCUCUUAUAUUCCCCAUUUCGAUCUCUCUGGUCCUCAGUUUACCACAACAUUUUGGCAAGCCAGCCAGGAGUGGAGAUGACAGGCUUACUAUCUCCUUUGCCUGUGGGGCUGGAGCCCCGGGUCAAGGGAAAACUGUGACCCCAGGCGUGGCUGGGAGAACUUCAGCCCAGAGGGGAGAUAGGCUCUCCUGUGACCCAGUGCCCCUACCCAGCAGUGCAACAGAACCUGAGAGGGGCUACAGGAGGAUUACCAGGAGCAGCAUGCUUCAGGAACCACGUUGCAGGUGUUGUGCCUUGGAUCCACCACAGUCUGCUGAAACCGGAAGCUCAGGACAAGUGGACCAGCCAGCAGGACCCAGAUCAUCCAAUCCCGCUGAUCCUAAGACGAGACCAAGCUGCUGUUAAAGACAACCAGCCUGCUGUGGUCACUCCGGAAGCUGACCAGUCUACUCAUGGCUGAAACUUGAGGAGACAACAAGCCCUGCUCUAGUCAUACACCGGAAGCUGACUAGUCUAUACAUGGCUGAAGCUUGAGGACUCAUCAAGCAAGUAAAGGUGGUUAGAAAUCUUAGGACUAGUAGUUUUCCUUGUAAUACUAACUGUUUUCCUAUUGUUCUGUUGCUGUGCUCAACCUCCUCCCCCUCUUCUGUCCUUGCUGGAUAUGAAUAUGCCAUACAUUGUUUUGCUGUUGUUACCCCCCUUAACCAUGCUAGAAGAAGCACCUAUAGAAGGGUGUCCCCACUGUACACAUACUACCUGGUCAAGGAACAGUAUAACUAUAACUCUAUCGUACCAUACUUAUAAGUGUACAAGGACUCACUUAAGAACUUGUACUUACAAUCAGACCACCUAUUCAGUCUGUGACCCAGAGGAUGGCCAGCCUUAUGUAUACUAUGACCCUAAAUUUUCACCUGGUGAAUGGUUUGACAUUCACGCAGAGUCAAAGGAAGGUCCCCUUUUAAAACCAGACCAAGGUCCCUCUUUUUUACCAAGGGCCUAUUUCUCUGUACUUUGAUGCCUGUCAGGCAGCAUACCUAGACUCACCUGUCUGUGGUAACUUACCUUUAGAAAGAUACUAUAGAAAUGACUACAAAUAUGUAUGCAUGCCAAGAGCAACUCCACCUUGUUCCCCUGGGACCCCAGAAAAACAUUGUCAGUAAUGCAUAUCAUGGCACCCUAGCACACAACAAAGGCCAAUUAUGCUUACUGAAAUGCCGGUAAACCAGAUUAUGAAACAAAAACCUGUAAUCCUGUAAACUUCACCAUUCUAAAGCCAGACCUACCCAUGUGGACUGCAGGUUGCCCCAUACAUGUCUACAUACACACAUACCCAGCAACUUACCUAUAUGUUAUCAAAAAAGGAACCCGGAGCCGUCCAGCCCAGCAACAGUUCCAAGUCUUUAAGUCAUUCUAUAAGCAUGUAGACCAAAAGUUACCAGAGCCUCCUCCUGUAGCCAAAAAUCUGUUUGCUCAGUUGGCUGAAAACAUUGCUGGCAGCCUAGGCAUUUCCUCAUGUUAUGUUUGUGGAGGAACUAACAUGGGAGACCAGUGGCCUUAGGAAGCAAAAGAGUCAAUGCCACAAGAUAAUUUUACUCUGACUGACUUUUCCCCCAAACCGAUGCCCACAAGUUCAAGCGUCUGGCUCUUAAAAACUUCUAUUAGGCCAGGCGUGGUGGCUCACUUUGGGAGGCCAAGGCGGGCAGAUCAUGUGAGAUCAGGAGUUUGAGACCAGCCUGACCAACAUGGAGAAACCCCAUCUCUACUAAAAACACAAAAUUAGCUGGGCGUGGUGGUGCAUGCCUGUAAUCCCAACAACUCGGGAGGCUGAGGCACGAGAAUCGCUUGAACCUGGGAAGCUGAGGUUGCAGUGAGCUGAGAUUGCACCAUUGCACUCCAGCCAGGGCAACAAGAGUAAAACUCCAUCUCAAACAAACAAACAAACAA
rnacentral:lncRNA from 10 species